UAAGGAAUAUUGGUCAAUGGAGGCAACUCUGAACCAGCCAUGCCGCGUGCAGGAAGACGGCCCUCUGGGUUGUAAACUGCUUUUAUUCGGGAAUAAACCUAUCUACGUGUAGAUAGCUGAAUGUACCGAAGGAAUAAGGAUCGGCUAACUCCGUGCCAGCAGCCGCGGUAAUACGGAGGAUCCAAGCGUUAUCCGGAUUUAUUGGGUUUAAAGGGUGCGUAGGCGGCCUAUUAAGUCAGGGGUGAAAGACGGUAGCUCAACUAUCGCAGUGCCCUUGAUACUGAUGAGCUUGAAUGAACUAGAGGUAGGCGGAAUGUGACAAGUAGCGGCGAAAUGCAUAGAUAUGUCACAGAACACCGAUUGCGAAGGCAGCUUACUAUGGUUUUAUUGACGCUGAGGCACGAAAGCGUGGGGAUCAAACA
rnacentral:rRNA from 1 species